UACAGAGGGUGCAAGCGUUGUUCGGAAUUAUUGGGCGUAAAGCGUGCGCAGGCGGUUCGCUGUGUCCGAUGUGAAAGCCCCGGGCUUAACCUGGGAAUGGCAUUGGAAACUGGCGGGCUUGAGUGUGGCAGAGGGGGGUGGAAUUCCGCGUGUAGCAGUGAAAUGCGUAGAGAUGCGGAGGAACACCGAUGGCGAAGGCAGCCCCCCUGGGCUAACACUGACGCUCAGGCACGAAAGCGUGGGGAGCAAACAGG
rnacentral:rRNA from 1 species